GGGUGCGAUCAUACCAGCGUUAAUGCAUCGGAUCCCAUCAGAACUCCGCAGUUAAGCGCGCUUGGGCUAGAGUAGUACUGGGAUGGGUGACCUCACGAGAAGCCCUAAUGUUGCACCCU
rnacentral:rRNA from 1 species